rnacentral:rRNA from 1 species
AGUGAACGCUGGCGGUAGGCCUAACACAUGCAAGUCGAACGGCAGCACAGUAAGAUUUUGCUCUUACGGGUGGCGAGUGGCGGACGGGUGAGGAAUAGAUCGGCAUCUACUUUGUCGGGGGGGAUAACGUAGGGAAACUGACGCUAAUACCUCAUACGACCUACGGCGGAAAGCAAGGGAUCUUCGGACCUUUCGCGAUUGAAUUAGCCGGUGCCGCAUUAGCUAGUUGGCGGGGUAAAGGCACACCAAGGCGACGAUGCGUAGCUGGCCUGAGAGGAUGAUCGGCCACACUGGAACUGAGACACGGUCCAGACUCCUACGGGAGGCAGCAGUAGGGAAUAUUGCGCAAUGGGCGAAAGCCUGAUGCAGCCACGCCGCGUGGGUGAUGAAGGCCUUCGGAUUGUAAAGCUCUGUUAUUAGGGAAGAACAGAUGUGUGUUUAUCCAUCGAUGUUCUGACGGUACCCAAACAGUAAGCCCCGGCUAACUUCGUG